ensembl:miRNA Mir6405 microRNA 6405
UCACCCCAUCCAGCUUUCCAAGGGCUUCUUUCUGACUUCCUGGCUUGAUUUGGGUUCAUGGUGAGACCAGACCCCAAGGUUGUCCAGAGUUUGAAGUGGGAAGCAGUGGGAAGCAGUGGGGUGC